rnacentral:lncRNA from 12 species
CAAAAUGGUUGAAGAAAUGGGACAUUUAUCCUGGCAGCUGGCAGACGCUGGGGACAGGUGCACUGGCUUUUCAUUGCAGAAGAGGUGUCCGGGGAGUGAGUUAGCUUCUGUGCACCCCCGGUUCCGCCCCUGAGCCUCGGUCCCCGUGCGUCCUCCACGGCUGUGGCCCUGACCCCAUAGGCCCCGGGGCCCACGGCAGCCUGCCCACUAUCCCUAUUCCCGCCGUGUUUGUCUGCCUGGUGAAUCCCGGGUCGCCGUCCUGAGUUUCUGGAACAGCGGCCUGUUGGGGUGCGGUGCGCCUCUGGCCCCCCGGGUGCGGAAGAAGGGGUGCACCCCCAGGGCCAUGCACAGCGGCGUCCAGGCCCUCCCCCGUCCCUGCCCGAGGCGUCACCCUGGAAGGCUCUUGCAGGACCAAGAGGACCAAGCCCAGGAGCAGGCGCUGCAGCCUGGGCCUCGCUCGCUGCCCCGGGCUCCGCGCACACGGCCCAAGCCUCGGCGUCCGCGCACCGUGCCUGGCACCCCACGAACGCCCCGGCCUCACGCAACUGGCUUCAGGGAGGCUCCCAGGGCUGCAGGCCCGGCAGGUGUGCCGCUCCUGGGCCCGCCUGGACGCCCAGCGCCGAGCUGCCAGCUGAGCCGCCCCGCCGAGCGCCCGCGCAGAAGCCCUCCCCUGCGCCUGCCUCCUGGCGCCCUGCAGCGCCGCGCUGGCAGCUCCUGUGGAUCCCAGCCCCCCCCCAUUACGUCCUGUUGCCCCCCCAGCCGAGACUCCUGUGGGAGCCCCCGAGCCCCCCGCAGUUCCCCGGGAGGCCGGCAGCACCAAGCGCAGGCCCCUGCAGGGUGUCGGGCUCUCCCAGGCAGGCGCCGGCCGCGCAACCUGGGCUGUGGAAGGGGCCCCGCGCACCCACUGCCCCGGGGCCUGGGGAACCAGGGGCACAGCUGCUGUCCUCUCGUUCCUCCGGGCCCCACAGGCCAGCGGGUCACCCGUGCGGCGCCCCCACCCCUGCGCACACCUGUCCUUGUGCCUGCUGCGGACCCCUGGCCGGACGAGGCUCCUGAUCCAGUUUCUCUUUUACGAUGA